UGGAGGGAGGGGUCCGUGGAAAAAACAGCGUUGUUGUAAGGUUGAAAGUAGGGGGUGAAAGUGGCCUAUCGGGGUGCAGAGACAUCGGAUCUCCCAUUCAAAAGUAGUAUUUUAAGAAGUCACUGAAACUAAGAAUAAGUGGAUGUUCUAGAAGGGAAGCCAAGUCCUCCGCCAGAUAAGGUUUGCUGGAAUGGGUAAUCUUCUAAAAGUCCUAACAAGGGAAAUAGAGAACUAUCCACAUUUUUUCCUGGACUUUGAAAAAACCAAAUGGGGAAUCUGUUAAAAGUGCUCACUUGCACUGAGCUCGAGCAGGGGCCAAACUUUUUCCUUGACUUUGAAAAUGCGCAGCCUACAGACUGUGAGAGGGAGGUAUGGAACCAGGUGAACACUGUGCUCCAGGACUCUGAGAGCAUCCUCUCUGGCCUACAGGCCUACAAGGGAGCAGGACAGGAGAUACGAGAUGCCAUUCAGAACCCCAAUGACAUGCUCCUACAGGAGAGAGCCUGGAACUCAGUCUGCCCCUUAGUCAUACGGCUCAAAAAGUUCUACGGCUUCUCCCUGAGACUAGAGAAGGCUCUCCAGGGCCUGCUGGAGUCCCUGACGUGUCCCCCAUACACCCCAACCCAGCACCUGGAGAAGGAGCAGGCUCUGGCCAAACAGUUUGCUGAGAUCCUCCACUUCACCCUGCGCUUCGAUGAACUCAAGAUGAGAAUUCCUGCCAUUCAGAAUGACUUCAGUUAUUACAGGAGGACAAUCAGUCGAAACAGGAUAAACAACAUGAAUUUGGAUAUCGAGAGCGAGGUCAACAAUGAGAUGGCCAACAGAAUGUCACUGUUCUACGCCGAGGCGACGCCCAUGCUGAAGACCUUAAGCACAGCUACGACAAACUUCGUAACCGAGAAUAAGACAUUACCCCUGGAAAACACCACUGACGUUCUCAGCACCAUGGCCAGCGUCUGUAAAGUCAUGCUGGAGACACCAGACUACACGAGCAGGUUCAACAGUGAGGACACGCUCCUGUUCUGUAUGAGAGUGAUGGUUGGAGUCAUCAUCCUGUACGACCACGUCCAUCCCAACGGAGCCUUCAACAAGUCCUCCAAGAUCGACGUCAGCACCACCUCUAAUAUAUACUGAUUCUAUAAUACCCUGAAGGCCCAAUCUUACUCUAAUGUUAGCAUGCGUAAUUUCGCUCUUUCGUCUAAAUCGCGUCAAUGGGAAAUGUGGAUGAAGGGAUGCAUAAAGGUCCUGAAAGAACAACCAGCAGAUAAUGUUGAAGGUCUCCUGAACGCCCUCAAGUUCACCACAAAACACCUGAAUGACGAGUCCACUCCAAAAAACAUCCGAACGAUGCUUCAGUAACAUUUCUAUCGAAAGAGGAUCAAUGUACUGACCUAAAAAAAAAAAGAUGUAUAUGUUUACAUAAUUUAAAAGACUGGAUGUUAAUACUUGUGUAUUUACAUAGUCAUUCCCUCCAACUUACUGAAACAUAUAGAACAUGUACCUUUUACUUUGAAAAAUGAGUUGGCUAUACUGUAAUUUUUGUUGAAGCACAAAUUGUGGAUAUACCUUUCAGCCUUACAAAGCUUGGCAAGCAGCUUGGCAAGCAGCACUUGAAGAAACAAGCACUCCGGUUGGUUCCUAUGAGGGAGCGAGCAAAUAAAAGGAGCUUCAUUGGUGGUUCGUUGUCAACAGAAGCUGAAUUCCGAAUUGAUGUCGAACCAGGUCCCAGAUCACUUUGCGCUGUCUUCCUAACGCCUGUGGUGGUUCAAUGUUGGCAAGACGGCACAAACUGACCUCUGAGACCAUGCUACCCAAUCCCUAUCCAUCUCUGUAGAUCGGGAUGAUUGGAUGGGUGUAAGCAAUAUGGUGCAAAUUCCACCUAGUCUAUCAGAAGGCAAGGGGAAGAUUGUUCAAACCUAUCAGAUCUACAGGAGUGCCUGUAGGGACUAGAAGUUGGUUUGGGAGGGGGGGGGGGUGAUGGCUUUCAUUUGAAGUGGUUUCGGUAAGUUGGCGGACGUUGUUGUGCUUCGUUGGCAAGGAAGUGACGGUGCCAUAAGAAAUAAACCAAUCAACCAAAUGUUUUUGAGCCCGUGUGGCAGGAGGAUGAGGAUACAGUAUGUCGUUUAGUUUUCUUUAUUUUUCAUGUAUCAGGUGUGUUCCUUUUUGUAUCUAACAGAAGUCCAUUGCUCAAAGAAGCAGCUUUCAAUACAAAUUAAGUCAUGACACGCAGUGGCAAAAACAAUUCCUUCCUUUUUUUGAGAUCUCUACUCUGGUAGUAGGAUAGCGGUGAUUCUGGUGAGCCUUUUCUCCUAGUUGUUCUCCUUUUAUCCUCUUAAGGACGAGUGACGCCUCCGUCUGACUGUGGUCCCGUUCUCUACCCUCCUACCUGAAGUGUACUCGUUCCCUCACCGUUGGUGUAAGUGUUGACUAGACUAGAGGGAGUUUCCCACACCUGUCCAUUCUAUGAAGGGGUGUGAGCGAGUGCACAAUUUGAGAAGACGGGCCGAGAAUUGGGCUGCGGUCACACUUCAAGACAGUCACUUCUGGUAGGGUGAAAAAUAAAUCCCUAAAAAAAUGUACUCACAGCAGUCAUCAUUUCAGGUCACACAAAGUACCAUUCUGUAGAAUAAGGCCUUGUCGCUCGCUCCUAUACUCUUACUUACAUCCGAAUGUGCAAAUAUAUUUGUGUCACUGAUUUUGUUUGGAGGCACUCCAAGAUUAAAUCUACACUCCAUAUCUUGGUUUGAUGAUUGAUUUAAAUAUGUCAAUUUCAGACUGGUGUUGACCCCUGUGUAACUUGUUGCCCUUUUUUGAGUAGUUUUUGUGUGUGUGCAGCAUUGUUUCAUGCUAAUGAACAUUGACCAAAGGGGCAUUAUAGGAGUAUUCUCGAAGCUCAUUCAGCAUGUAUACACUGGUGUCUUAUCUUUUUGACUUGGUUCAGUGGUGAAUAAUAUUCAUCUAAUUAUUAACAGGAGAAUGAUAUUGGAACGUUAUCUACAAAAUGUCAGGAUUGUGAGUGGCUUUUGUUCUGGAAAUAUGUGGUGUUCUAUGGAAUUAGAGAAACGGUUGUUUGGUAAAGGUCAGACAAUCGCUUGUUAUUGAUUUUUUUUUUUUAUGACUUGGAAGAAAAUCUGCGUUAACUUGUUGUGCUGCUCUCGAUCCUGUCUGUCCAGACGCAUGUGGAAUUGAAGCUUUUUUUUAUGAUGGGGAAAUGCAGAGAUGAAACCAUUUUAGACUAUGGCUGUUUACACAGGCAGCCCAAUUCUGAUGUUUUGCUCAAUUAUUGGCAAAAGAGCUGAUUGGUCAAAAGACCAAUUAGUGGAAAAAGAUUAGAUUUGGUCUGCUUGUGUUAGCAGCCUAAUUGGCCUAUGUCAUGUUGAGCAGCAUGCAAACAAUUAGCCUGGUCCCAGAUCGGUUUGUGCUCCUGCCAACUCGCAUGAGGUCAUUGUCAAGCCAAACAUUUCACUUGACAAUGAGUGGCAGGGAGUUGGCAUGAUGGCACAGACUGGCACUCGGGCUACUAAACAAUGGCCAAGCCUGUACAAAUGUGUCCUGUUCAUAUGUUCCUUAUUAGAGAAACCCACAACCCUACGACCGUCAAUGGGCUUUUAUGCUAGACUGAAGUAGCCUGUCUUGUGCCUCUUCUUGUCACGAAGUCAGCAAUAGUCACCAACCUCAGAGAAUUAUGAAUUAAGUGUAUUUAAUUAUACAGUAAAUUAUUAGGAUCUACAGUGUUAAUGUGAAAUGAGACGAAGGGCUAUUAUAGAGUUUUUAAAAUCCACACAGUGAAUAUGUUUGUCCAUCCAAGCUUCAAUAAAAUCCUUACUCAAUGCAUCUCUUUAUCUCUAACAUUACUCAUCGUGAUAACAUACAAUGCUACUAACAAAUGUUUAAGAAAAGAAAAAAACAGGUCAUUAACCUCCAUGGAUUUUGACAUUCAUGUUAAUUGUUUAUUUUCUAUAUUGUCUGGUGAUCCAUAAUGCACUUUGACAAGUGUGAGCCAUACUUUUUGUGUGUGAUGGAUGCAAUGUAUAUAUGCAAUGGAUGAAUACUGUAUGUAGACCUGUCAGAAAUGUCAAGCUAAAUGUGCACCAUACAGCCAUAUACUGAGGAUGUUUCAAAGGUUUAAUUCCAAAAAAGAUUUCCGUCAAACUUCUAUCAGUAUUGAACUACACAAUGUCUUCAGCACAAUACAUGUUGCUAUUAUUAUUAUUAUUAUUAUUAUUAUUGUGUUGUAUGCAAGCUGUGUUGAAUAUUGAGAUAUUUGAAUAGUAGUUGGAUUUGCUUUAACUGACAAGACUUUUUAAUGGUUUGGAGCGUUGGUUAAUGUUUCUUAUAAAUGGCUUUUGCUUUAUAUUGAAUGGAUGUGUGAACCGAAAAUUAAACUGGUACAUUUUCUGCACCUGG